GUUCAAUUUAGUUUUCAAUUCAUUACAAUCUAGUGAUUAAACCCCUAUUAUUUUUUUUGGAAAAACAAACAACACUCGGUAGUGGAAGCUUUGACAUAGUUAAAAAAGUGGGUUUACAGUUUAUCAUCUCAUCAAAGGUGCAGUUCUCUGGAUGUGUAAAGACAAUACACAGUUAUGUAAUACUCCAGAUGUAUUGUUUCAUUUGCUCUGGUAACAGUUUAGUGUGAUAUUGACCCCAUAAGGAUCUUACGGACCAAUGUUCUUUUGAUGUGCUAUGUGUUUGUGACCAAGGC